UCCAGUGGCUCAGUGGUAAAGAAUCCGCCUGCCAAGCAGGAGACGCAGGUUCGAUCCCUGCAUCAGGAA
rnacentral:tRNA from 1 species